AAGACUCUCCUUUCAGGGAUCAUUUCUAUAGUGCAUUCCUAGAGAGUUUCUCUGAAAGUGUAGAGCAGCAGUCCCCAGUCCCUGGG
rnacentral:snoRNA from 1 species